AGUGAACGCUGGCGGUAGGCCUAACACAUGCAAGUCGAACGGCAGCACAGUAAGAGCUUGCUCUUACGGGUGGCGAGUGGCGGACGGGUGAGGAAUACAUCGGAAUCUACUUUUUCGUGGGGGAUAACGUAGGGAAACUUACGCUAAUACCGCAUACGACCUACGGGUGAAAGCAGGGGAUCUUCGGACCUUGCGCGUUUGAAUGAGCCGAUGUCGGAUUAGCUAGUUGGCGGGGUAAAGGCCCACCAAGGCGACGAUCCGUAGCUGGUCUGAGAGGAUGAUCAGCCACACUGGAACUGAGACACGGUCCAGACUCCUACGGGAGGCAGCAGUGGGGAAUAUUGGACAAUGGGCGCAAGCCUGAUCCAGCCAUACCGCGUGGGUGAAGAAGGCCUUCGGGUUGUAAAGCCCUGUUGUUGGGAAAGAAAAGCAGCAGGUUAAUACCCCGCUGUUCUGACGGUACCCAAAGAAUAAGCACCGGCUAACUUCGUG
rnacentral:rRNA from 1 species